UGCAGUCGAGCGCGAACGUAGCUUCGGCUACUAGUAGAGCGGCGAACGGGUGAGUAACACGUGGAUAACCUGCCCUAAAGCGGGGGAUAACUUGGGGAAACUCGAGCUAAUACCGCAUACGUCCGUAGCUCCUAAGGGCUACGGGGAAAGAUGGCCUAUGCUUGCAAACCAUCGCUUUAGGAGGGGUCCGCGUCCGAUUAGCUAGUUGGUGGGGUAAUGGCCUACCAAGGCUGCGAUCGGUAGCCGGCCUGAGAGGGCGAUCGGCCACACUGGAACUGAGACACGGUCCAGACUCCUACGGGAGGCAGCAGUGGGGAAUAUUGCGCAAUGGGCGAAAGCCUGACGCAGCAACGCCGCGUGGAGGAUAAAGGCCUUCGGGUCGUAAACUCCUGUCAGAAGGAACGAAAAAGUUAGGGCGAAUAGUCCUGACCGUUGACGGUACCUUCAGAGGAAGCCCCGGCUAACUCCGUGCCAGCAGCCGCGGUAAUACGGAGGGGGCAAGCGUUAUUCGGAAUUAUUGGGCGUAAAGCGCACGUAGGCGGCUUGGCAAGUCAAAGGUGAAAUCCCUCGGCUCAACCGAGGAACUGCCUUUGAAACUGCUUCGCUUGAGGCCGGGAGGGGGUGGCGGAAUUCCCAGUGUAGCGGUGAAAUGCGUAGAUAUUGGGAGGAACACCGGUGGCGAAGGCGGCCACCUGGACCGGUUCUGACGCUGAGGUGCGAAAGCGUGGGGAGCAAACAGGAUUAGAUACCCUGGUAGUCCACGCUGUAAACGAUGGGUACUAGGUGUCGCGGGUAUCGACCCCUGCGGUGCCUUAGCUAACGCGUUAAGUACCCCGCCUGGGGAGUACGGUCGCAAGGC
rnacentral:rRNA from 1 species